rnacentral:rRNA from 1 species
CCCUUAGAUGUCCUGGGCCGCACGCGCGCUACACUGACAUGUUCAACAAGCCUCCUAGUUCGACAGGAUUUGGGAAAUCUUUGAACGCAUGUCGUGAUAGGGAUAGAUCAUUCCAAUUAUUGAUCUUGAACGAGGAAUUCCUAGUAAACGCGAGUCAUCAGCUCGCAUUGAUUACGUCCCUGCCCUUUGUACACACCGCCCGUCGCACCUACCGAUUGAAUGUUUCGGUGAAGAUUCCGGAUAGGACUUUUUUGAUUUAUUUCAAUUUUGUCUUAAAAGCUAUCUAAACCUCAACAUUUAGAGGAAGGUGAAGUCGUAACA